UAAACGUGUCCCUGCCACGGGGCCUUUGUACUUGCAGGCAGAGCUCUUGCCCUGCCCGUCAUGGCUCUACUUCCGGCCUCAGCUCAUCCUUUCUAGAUGAGAGGUCUUCACGACCAUCAACCACCCCACCCUUCACUUUCAUAAAGCUCUUUGUUUUCUUCCUAGUAUUUUUCUUGUUCUGAAUGUUUUUCACCAUUUGCUUAGUGUUUUUUGACUGUCUUCUUCUCCACAAAAUGUAAGUUCCAUGAGAAUGGGGACCUUGUGUUCUUGUUCUCUGCAGGUGCCCAGCACUUUGAUCAGUGUCUGCUUCAUAGGAGGCACUCAAAUACUGUGGAAUGGAUGAAUGGAGUCACUUCCUUUCCAACAUGCACGCCAACAUGGUUGAACUGCCUCCUUUCUAAAAGGAUUGGAUUCAAAGGCACCUGGGUCAACACUUGCAGAUGCCAGCCAGCCGGGCCUGGUGCUGGUGCUUUGUGUGGUCAACCCCAGUGGGCCUUCUGCAGCCUUGGAAGUCGAGACUGAAAUUGCAUCCAUUUUAUGGGCCAAGACAUUGAGAGGUGAAAGAACUGGAGCUAAUGAACAGAGGAGCUGGUCUCUGAACCAAGUGCAGCUGACUCCAGGCGCUGCAGCUUUGCUGCAGCUCUGCAGAAUCCCCGCACCAGCUCGGGAAGAAGGCCGCCCUUCUCUUCUGCUUCUGAACGUUCCACUUUAGCUGCACAUUAUACUGAGUGACUCCUCCCCACAACCUCAGCACUUUCACGUCUUUCAGCCCUUCCUAUUCUUUUUUUUUUUUGAGACGGAGUCUCGCUCUGUCGCCCAGGCUGGAGUGCAGUGGCGCGAUCUCAGCUCACUGCAAGCUCCGCCUCCCAGGUUCACGCCAUUCUCCCGCCUCAGCCUCCCGAGCAGCUGGGACUACCGGCGCCCGCCACCAUGCCCGCCGAAAUUUUUUGUAUUUUUAGUAGAGACAGGGUUUCACUGUGUUAGCCAGGAUGGUCUUGAUCUCCUGACCUCGUGAUCCGCCUGCCUUGGCUUCCCAAAAUGCUGGGAUUACAGGCGUGAGCCACCGAGCCCGGCCUUUUUUUUUUUUUUUUUUUUUUUUUUUUAAUAUUUUUAGUUUUUGAGACAGAGUCUCGCUGUCGCCCAGGCUGGAGUGCAGGGGUGUGAUCUCAGCUAACUGCAACCUCCACCUCCCAGGUUCAAAUGAUUAUUGUACCUCAGCCUCCUGAGUAGCUGGGAUUAUAGGCGCACAUCACCACACCCAGCUAAUUUUUGUAUUUUUGUAGAGAUGCGGUUUCACCAUGUUGGACAGGUUGGUCUUGAACUCCUGGCUUCAAGUGAUCUGCUUACCUCAGCAUCACAAAGUACUGGGAUUAUAGGCAUAAGCCACCGUGCCCGUCCCAGCCCUCCCUAUUCUUAGGGCAUAUACCAUCCACACAAUACCCCUGUUGAGUGUCUGGGGGCAAUUCCACAACCUGUCCACCUACCCACCAGCUUGCUGUUGUUGUAUUAAAGGCUUGUGGUCAACACCCUGGACUUAAGCAAGGUGCACGCAAGGGAACAUGCUCUAUCCCCAGGAGCUCGCUGUGGGCUUGGACCUCCCCCAGUGUGAGCAAUACCUUGGAGGGCCAGGAUGGCACGCGUACGACAGGCAAUGUAGCCUUGGCUUCCCUCCGCAUUCACAUCAGACCUACCUCUGGCCCCAGAGGCUGAAUUUAUUUUGGCUUAAAUGACAGGGUGGUCCGAAAUAGUAAAAAUACUCCCUUCAUGAAGCCACUGGGUGAAUCUAGU
rnacentral:lncRNA from 1 species